AUUGAACGCUGGCGGCAGGCCUAACACAUGCAAGUCGAGCGGUAGCACAGAGAGCUUGCUCUCGGGUGACGAGCGGCGGACGGGUGAGUAAUGUCUGGGAAACUGCCUGAUGGAGGGGGAUAACUACUGGAAACGGUAGCUAAUACCGCAUAACGUCGCAAGACCAAAGUGGGGGACCUUCGGGCCUCAUGCCAUCAGAUGUGCCCAGAUGGGAUUAGCUAGUAGGUGGGGUAACGGCUCACCUAGGCGACGAUCCCUAGCUGGUCUGAGAGGAUGACCAGCCACACUGGAACUGAGACACGGUCCAGACUCCUACGGGAGGCAGCAGUGGGGAAUAUUGCACAAUGGGCGCAAGCCUGAUGCAGCCAUGCCGCGUGUGUGAAGAAGGCCUUCGGGUUGUAAAGCACUUUCAGCGGGGAGGAAGGCGAUAAGGUUAAUAACCUUGUCGAUUGACGUUACCCGCAGAAGAAGCACCGGCUAACUCCGUGCCAGCAGCCGCGGUAAUACGGAGGGUGCAAGCGUUAAUCGGAAUUACUGGGCGUAAAGCGCACGCAGGCGGUCUGUCAAGUCGGAUGUGAAAUCCCCGGGCUCAACCUGGGAACUGCAUUCGAAACUGGCAGGCUAGAGUCUUGUAGAGGGGGGUAGAAUUCCAGGUGUAGCGGUGAAAUGCGUAGAGAUCUGGAGGAAUACCGGUGGCGAAGGCGGCCCCCUGGACAAAGACUGACGCUCAGGUGCGAAAGCGUGGGGAGCAAACAGGAUUAGAUACCCUGGUAGUCCACGCCGUAAACGAUGUCGAUUUGGAGGUUGUGCCCUUGAGGCGUGGCUUCCGGAGCUAACGCGUUAAAUCGACCGCCUGGGGAGUACGGCCGCAAGGUUAAAACUCAAAUGAAUUGACGGGGGCCCGCACAAGCGGUGGAGCAUGUGGUUUAAUUCGAUGCAACGCGAAGAACCUUACCUGGUCUUGACAUCCACAGAACUUUCCAGAGAUGGAUUGGUGCCUUCGGGAACUGUGAGACAGGUGCUGCAUGGCUGUCGUCAGCUCGUGUUGUGAAAUGUUGGGUUAAGUCCCGCAACGAGCGCAACCCUUAUCCUUUGUUGCCAGCGGUCCGGCCGGGAACUCAAAGGAGACUGCCAGUGAUAAACUGGAGGAAGGUGGGGAUGACGUCAAGUCAUCAUGGCCCUUACGACCAGGGCUACACACGUGCUACAAUGGCAUAUACAAAGAGAAGCGACCUCGCGAGAGCAAGCGGACCUCAUAAAGUAUGUCGUAGUCCGGAUUGGAGUCUGCAACUCGACUCCAUGAAGUCGGAAUCGCUAGUAAUCGUAGAUCAGAAUGCUACGGUGAAUACGUUCCCGGGCCUUGUACACACCGCCCGUCACACCAUGGGAGUGGGUUGCAAAAGAAGUAGGUAGCUUAACCUUCGGGAGGGCGCUUACCACUUUGUGAUUCAUGACUGGGGUGA
rnacentral:rRNA from 1 species